GGUUGUAUAGCUCAGGGGUAGAGCACAUGCUUAGCACACAUUAAGGUCCUGGGUUUAAGCCCCAGUACCGCCA
rnacentral:tRNA from 1 species